GAUGCAGGGGAGUGGGCAGGGUAGGGGUAGUGCAAGUGAACUGAACUUCUGCGUCGGUGUAGGCUACACUGUAUUUUUGAAAUGCACCUAACUUUAAUCAUGCACUGAGAUUUAUUUUAGAGGAAAAAAACUAUUUGGAUGUUCGGGUUGAUGGUAGACAGGGACCCGUGAGCGGAAAUGAAAGAUUUUCCCAUCAAAAAAUUAUUCUUAAAGGAAAACUUGGGACUGAUUGUGUGCGCUUUGCUGUCUUAUCAGUGUUAUGCAUGAGAUCUAAAAGCAGGUAAGCCACUGACUAACGCACAUUGUGCCAGUUGCCAGUUCCACUGUGCGUGUGACAGCGGCUAACCUGGUUUUGGGAAUACCUCUCAUAUUUAUUGACCUCAUCCAACACCAGCCACAGCCGGACCAGACACACACCUAUCUACAAGCAGCCUUUGAUCUGUCGGGACAGGCCUGCUCAGUUAUGAAUGCCCUCCCAGUGAUCUCUGUGUGUACUGUAGCCUACUUCCUUCUGCACCUUAUUUAGGACCAGUGGCUUUUGUAUUUCCUCCUCCUAUGGAGCUGACCUCUGUUUAAAUGAGACUGUUGGUGUUUUGUUUCAGUUUCAGUUUCAUCCCUGUGGUUUAGAUCAUCUUCAUGCUACCAGUUCGAGGUCAGGGGGCCUCCAGGGUUUCCUGAAGAGCCUCCUCAGGGGCCCUCCAGCAAAAAUGAGCAGCGCUGUAAAGAUUGAACUUGAGCACAAAACGCAUAGAGAUAAUAACAUACUUUCACCCGUUUGCAUGAGUAGAAACAAUGUACAGCUCAUUUAUAAAGCGUGGAUAGCUGCACAAAUCUGAACUCCUUAAGAAAAUGGACAUUAAUUGUAUUUAUACAGUAUGCACAAUGUAUGUUCCUAAAGUGAGAAGUAAAGUUUCUACCCAAAUCAAAA